rnacentral:rRNA from 1 species
CCUACGGGUGGCAGCAGUGGGGAAUUUUGCACAAUGGGGGAAACCCUGAUGCAGCGACGCCGCGUGAGUGAAGAAGUAAUUCGUUAUGUAAAGCUCCAUCAGCAGGGAAGAAAAUGACGGUACCUGAGUAAGAAGCACCGGCUAAAAACGUGCCAGCAGCCGUGGCAAUACGUAUGGGGCAAGCGUUAUCCGGAUUUACUGGGUGUAAAGGGAGGGCGGGCGGAACGGUAAGCCUGAUGUGAUAGCCGGCGGCCCCACCGGGGGAAUGCAGUGGGAACUACCGGGCUGGAGUGGCGGAGAGGUAGGCGGAAUUCCUAGUGUAGCGGGGAAAUGCGUAGAUAUUAGGAGGAACACCAGUGGCGAAGGCGGCCUACUGGACGGUGACUGACGCUGAGGCUCGAAGGCGUGGGGAGCAAACAGGAUUAGAUACCCCUGUAGUC